rnacentral:rRNA from 1 species
AUACGGAGGAUGCAAGCGUUAUCCGGAUUUAUUGGGUUUAAAGGGUGCGUAGGCGGUUUGCUAAGCGGGAGGUGAAAUGCCGGCGCUCAACGUCGGAAGUGCCUCCCGAACUGGUGGACUGGAAUGACUCUGCCGUGGGAGGAAUGUGUAGUGUAGCGGUGAAAUGCUUAGAGAUUACACAGAACACCGAUUGCGAAGGCAUCUCACGAAGGGUUGAUUGACGCUGAGGCACGAAAGCGUGGGGAUCAAACAGGAUUAGAUACCCUGGUAGUCCACGCAGUAAACGAUGAUGGCUAACCGCUGGGCUUAUCAGUUCAGUGGCCAAGCGAAAGCGAUAAGCCAUCCACCUGGGGAGUACGACCGCAAGGUUGAAACUCAAAUGAAUUGACGGGG